UUUUUCUAGUUUUUAUUUUUCCUCAUCUUGUUUGCUUUCUUUGUGAAGAGUCAAAAACUCCAAAACUAUUUUUGUGUGUUUCUCUGAAUUUCUUUUCUUUUCUUUGAGUCAUUGAAAGUAGAAGACCGCAAUGAAAAUGUUGAGUGGCUCUCAUAUGCAUUAAUGUUGAUCUAACCAAGAGCCAAGAUUACCAUCUCUUCUCCUUUGCACAAAUACCUUGCGG
rnacentral:lncRNA from 1 species